UCCGGCUCUGCUGUGGAUCGGCUCCAGUGGACGGAUCAGAUACGCAACGCUCCUAUUUUUGCCGGACGAUGCAACACGGUGCAUCAAUUCAGUGCAACGCAGCAAGAGCAGGAGCGGUAGUUGUAUAAGCUACAGAGUAAAAUAUCCGGUAAAUUUCAAAAUAAAAUAAAGUCAAUAUGUUGAACUAGGAGAGGCCAGGGUUGUGAGAUGUGGUUGUUUCUAAACACCACCGAUUGGCGGAUCUCAUUCAAUGUCUCACAAGGUUUCGUCUCGCGAGAAAUAUCAGUAAUCUCGCAAGCGUUUCUCCGCUGAUGGCAGAGGAGGAUCGGAUCCGGUGGGCCAGUGGAACCCCCACGUAACUUUACUAAUUAAGUCUCAAAACGUGAAAAGUGUCUCUAUGUCUUCGCCAGAUUUUCACGAUUCGUUUCAAUAUCCUCCCGGUAUGACAUCACAGGAAAAUGGCUGCCAUGUGAAUACGUCAUGUUUUCUAUAAAGUUUGUGUUUUUGUCGUUCCUUAACUUUUCCUCUCCUCUUUAUCACUCCAUUCAGCCCCAGUCUCCUCUCCUCUCCUCUCUUCCUCCCUCUUCUAUCCAUCCAGUGGACUUCUAAAGUGAUGGAUGUAAAGCUCUGUAAUGUAUCAAGGUACUGUCACUCAGCACUACUGUAUGUAUGAGAAUGUCAAUCAGCUCCUGUUAUGCUAAAUGCACUGAAAACUCACAGUUAGGGAACGUUUUGAAUUUAUUCGACUUUUGCAUCAUGCUCGUGAUUUUUGCUGCAUUUUACCUGCCUGCUUUUAGCGCCUCAUAUAACCACUGAACUUUUAGCUAUUUAACUGUGUGGAACAUAUUUAUUGCCUGUCUCUCUCGUCCUUCAGAAACCCUAAAUCGACAAAUCCUCCCGUCAUACGAUUCACCGACUCACAAAUUUAAAGAUAAGGUAAUAACGUUAUUUGGGUGCAAAGAAAUCGAUUAGACUUUCGCCCACAUCCCGUGAAUUUUUGUAACAAUGUAGAGUGAUCAUUUGUCCUGUUUUACCCAGACAUGACCUCUUUUUUGUAGGGUGUCCCGGCUUGUCCGGUUUUGUCCGAGGAAGUUUAUGAAAUCCUUCAAAUCUCAGCGGUUUUGUUUGUUAGUUUCGACACGCUAAGACACUCUAUCCAGCCCCAAACGUUUUCAUGGCGACCCCUUCGUACAGCCAAGAUCGGUAAUGACUGUAAAUCAUGAAUGUAAUAUCCUAAAAAAUUAAAGGUAGGGUAGUCAGGAUCUGAGGAAGUUCCAGUUUUUUAGGCGAAAUCUUGAAUGUGAACUCUACCCCUCUUAACCAGUUUUCCCCUCAGCCCCUCCCUCUCUGCUCCAGCAAGCCCCGCCCACAAACAGACAGCGAUAUCGUUAUAUUACCAAAUGUCAUCAAAAACUAUUUGUAUAUACACCACAAAAAAAAGAUGCUUCUUUAACGGAUUCCUGACUACGCCACCUUUAAGUGGCAGCCAAUCUCAACAACCAACUUCAAUAGCUAGCAUUAGGCCUUGGCUAAUAUGUGAUAGAGCAAAAUUAACACGUAAUGUUCUGCUAGCGUAAUUUCAAAUUAGCAACACCCUACCCAAAAUAGACUUUAAUGGGAGGGAAAUCAGCAAUGAGGGUAUUUGGUUGUAAAUCAAAGUACUGGACAGUAAAGAAGUCAGAGGGUCACCAAAGUUAUUGCAGUGACUCCUGGGUUUAACACAAUUGUCUGUACCCAUUUUUCGUUACCGUCAUCAUUUUCUUCCGCUUCAUCCGGGCCCGGGUCGUGGGGGCAGCAGCUUCAGGAGGGAAGCCCAGACGGCCCUCACCCGACCACUUCCACCAGCUACUCCGGGGGGAUUCCCAGGCACUCCCAGUCCAGCCGAGAGAUAUAAUCCCUCCACCUGGUCCUGGGCCGGCCAUGAGGUCUCCUCCCGGUGGGACAUGUCUGGAACACCUCUAACAGGAGGCGUCCAGAAGGCGUCCUAACCAGAUGCCCGAGCCACCUCAGCUGACUCCUCUCGACGUGGAGGAGCAGCGGUUCUACUCUGAGUGCCUCCCGAGAUCUUUUGGUCAUUACCCAAAGUUCAUGACCAUAGGUGAGGAUCGGCACGUAGAUCGACUGGUAAACCAAGAGUCUCGCCUUACGGCUCAGCUCUUUCUUCACUACGACAGAUCGGUUAAUCAUCCGCAUCCCUGCUGCCGUUGCUCCGAUCCGCCUGUCGAUCUCCCGUUCCAUCCUACCCUCACUCAUGAACAAGAUCCUGAGCUUCUUGAACUCCUCCACUUGAGGAAGGACCUCCCCUCCGACCUGGAGAAGGAAAUCUACCUUUUUCCGACUGAUGUUCCCAUUUUUAAGUCUCUCUAUCCGACAGCUGUAGAGAAAUGCCGGUAAAACUGUUCGACUGAGCUUCAAUCCCGUUUUCUCGCCCCUCUGCUUUUAAAAACUGAGUCAUUUCGCCGCGAUGAUAAAUCAGUUGUCGAGCAGGCUGAGCAGGUGCCAUAAGGAUAAAGUGACACUUAAUUAUCACCCUGUUUAACAUAUUAUAAGAGAGUGGAUUUGUGCCAAACUUCCUGCCGUCCUGGAAAACAAGCCAGCGCUUCAGCCGGUGUCAGCACUUUCAGCUCUCGUCUGAGGCCUUUUUCAAAAUUAAGCUGAAUGAGUUUUAUGUUCCUGACUGAGCAUCACUGGAGGAUUUCUGAGGGUUCAGGGUUUCUGGAGGGCAGUGAUGAUAUUUAUAAUAUUUGUGUUGUAUAUUGAUAAUGUAUUUGUGUUUACAUAACUACACAGGGCUCCUAAGAGUCUCAACUGUCUUAAUUUAAAGUUGCACUAUAUGUAGUUUUGCAGAGACAUAAAAAAAAGGGUUUAUUUUAGGCUCUUUUGACCUGGUGAUUGGAAUCAACAGCCAAACUGUUUCUCUACAGCUUCAACCCUGGGUUUGUUUUACAGUACUGCCAACUAAUCUAGUGAUCUGGGGUCUGGAGAGGCGUUAUUGACCCUAAAGAUGGUGGUCGCCAUAUUGAAAAGGUUGAGACAAACUUUCAGUUACUGCAGAAACAAACAAAAGUGGAGCUGAGGCCCCACAGACCUGUGAAAACAACUGCAGCUUAUUUACAACUCGGCCACACCCCCUAUUAAUGCAUUACCCUUAGAAUUAAUACAAUGAAAUAGUUAAGAAAUAAAAAUGUUCUGGAAAGCUUUUGGGACAAAAAUUAAAACGGUUUUUGUCUACCAAGUUUUAAAGAUGUUUGAAUCUGCUGUGAAAUGAGAUAAUUUAACAUGGGGUUCUAUGGGGAUUGACUCACUGUAGACUCAGCCUCCAGUGGCCGAUUGAAGAACUGCAGUUUUUUUUUUUUUUUUUUUCCACUUUUCAACACUUUGAGGCAUGGUUGACGAUUGGAGAGAUUAGUAAUUAUUAUGAACCUCGUUUCUUUGGCGAUCAUGGUCCUAUAGUGUGAUCUCUACAAAGUGACGGGAAAAAAGAACAGAAAAAAUCCGUUCACUCUAUCAGGUGCAGGGCUGCAAAAACAUUGACCAAUGGGAGCCAUCUGUCCCGGACGGCUCCUAUUGGUCAAUCUCCUGCUCUGCCUCUCCAUCCAAUCAGCUUGCUGUAUUCAACACACCUCUCUCCCGUUGUUCCGACUCAUCCCCUCCCACUCUCCCGGCCCUCCUCAGAGCUCUGAGUGGCUAAAAGUAGCGUAGCAGCUUAGCUACAGGAGCUGUGAUGGGGAAGGACGCAAAGAAAAAAUUGUGCGAAUAAAACGCAAGGAGGAGGAGUCGAAGAGGAAAUGUGACCAAGCGGGAACUCGAACUCGAAUAAACAUCGGGUUUUUUCAACUGCUUCUCAGAUCGUCAACCACACCUUUAAGUAGAAAAAUGUUCUGGAAAACCUUUGGAACAGAUGUGAAAACGAUUUUGGUCUACCAAGUUUUAAAGAUGUUCGAAUCUGCUGUGAAAUGAGAUAAUUUAACAUGGGGUUCUAUGGAGAUUUACUCACUUUAGACUCAGCCUCCAGUGGCCGAUUGAGGAACUGCAGUUUAUUUUUAUUUUUUGCACUUUUCAACACUUAAGCUCAUAUGCAGCAGAGAUAAACCACUCCGAGUCGCUGCACUUCAAUAAACCUGCGCACAUACCUGUUAUUUUAACACGAAACGUCUCUCCAAACGAUGGUGCUAGACUACUGAUCCCCGGCUGCACGAUUGGUUUUUCAAAGUUUAUUUUUAUCGCAAAAACAGACGAAGAAGCAUGAAAUACUAAAGCCUCCCUAUUUUGAUCACGUCAGGUUGUCUCUCUCUGAUAUUAUUUCCCUUUUCUUUGCUGUAUUCUAUUACUGUUUGCUGCUAUAAUGAUCAAUAAAGUUUAAUUUAAUCGGAC